CAACGUCGAAUGUAAUUGGGGUGGUCGGCACGUGUCUUAUCAAUGGUCUUUACUGUCAUGGGUCUGUUUAAGGUCUUCCACCUACCCGUUCACCCCCAUUGCAGUCGACUUUCUGUACGUUGUGCUGUUCGGACAACGGCAUUAUCAGUUCGUGUCCACUGACGAAACAAGGACAUAGUGCUCUAUAUAAAUGGUCAGAGUAGUAUUCCAUGCCAGUGAGCAACCAUCGAACGAACUCCAACCGCUAUGGUCUCUCUGAUACGUGGCUGGUUGACGCCUAUUAUUCUUCUAGCUGCUUUAUGUGGCGCCUUCGGAACCCUGCCGCAGAAUGACAACCAGGCAAGACGUGUGACACGGGAAGACAAAAACGUAAAAUACUGGCACACGACGGGUUUCCUGAGGAUGUAUAACGCAGCCUCGGUCCGCGACGGCGAAUUCCACAAAUGGAGCAAGAGCUUCUACCUCAACGGUUACAGGAUGGUUAUGUUGCUAAAGGUUAAACGGUAUGAUAACGAUGAUUCAAAGCCACCAUCCUUUGGAUUAUACCUUCAGAUAUGCGCCGGUGACAACGAUGACUACCUGCUAUGGCCAUACAGGCCUCCUCACACCCUCACGCUUCACCACCUGAUGUCGCCAGCGAAAGAUAUCUCGUACACUAUCAGAGAACUGAACACAAAAAACUUCCUCAAGUUUAAGAGACCGUAUAAGGGAUGUAAUAGGCCAUGGGGAAAUGCGGAAAUGAUCAAUACCAAUGACGCAGUGACACUUGGGUAUGUAUUGGACGAUGCUGUUACAGUUUCUGUUCGAAUCCCAUAAGAAUACCGAUAAUCCCUGUAUGGUGAACGCUGUUAGACUUACGCACGAUCAGGUAAAACACUGUAGAUUUGUGGAAGGCGAGCGUCGGUUAAUGACGAUUGAUUAUUUUUGUCUGUCUUUUUUUACUUCCUGAAUACACAUAACUGUGCUAGGAAUUUCACUGUUUUCGAGCUUAAUAAAAUAUAUUGCUUCGCUUCCACUAAA